rnacentral:rRNA from 1 species
UACAGAGGCCACGAGCGUUAGGCAGAAUCACUGGGCUUAAAGCGUGUGUAGGUGGAUCGGUAAGUACCUUGUGAAAUCCCACGACUCAAUCGUGGAACUGCUUGGUAUACUGCCAGUCUUGAGGCACUCAGGGGCGAGCGGAACAGAUGGUGGAGCGGUGAAAUGCGUAGAUAUCAUCUGGAACGCCAAUGGUGAAGACAGCUCGCUGGGGGUGUUCUGACACUGAGACACGAAAGCCAGGGGAGCAAACGGG